AGCAGCCGCGGUAAUUCCAGCUCCAAUAGCGUAUAUUAAAGUUGUUGCAGUUAAAAAGCUCGUAGUUGAAUUUCGGGAUCAAUACGUCGGUCGUGCUUCGGUACGUACUGGCGUCAUUGAUUUCUCCCUUCUGACGAACCAUGAUGUCAUUAACUUGGUGUCUUGGGAAAUCAGGACUGUUACUUUGAAAAAAUUAGAGUGUUUAAAGCAGGCUCACGCUUGAAUACAUUAGCAUGGAAUAAUGAAAUAGGACGUUCGAUCCUAUUUUGUUGGUUUUAGGAUCAACGUAAUGAUUAAUAGGGAUAGUUGGGGGCAUUAGUAUUCAAUUGUCAGAGGUGAAAUUCUUGGAUUUAUUGAAGACUAACUACUGCGAAAGCAUUUGCCAAGGAUGUUUUCAUUAAUCAAGAACGAAAGUUAGGGGAUCGAAGACGAUCAGAUACCGUCGUAGUC
rnacentral:rRNA from 1 species